rnacentral:rRNA from 1 species
UACGGGGGGAGCAAGCGUUGUUCGGAUUCACUGGGCGUAAAGGGCACGUAGGCGGCUCAGCAAAUCAGUCGUGGAAUCCCGACGCUUACCGUCGGAACGGCGGCUGAAAAUACUGGGCUUGAGGGCGUGAGGGGUCACUGGAACUCCUGGUGAAGCGGUGAAAUGCGUAGAUAUCAGGAGGAGCGCCGGAGGCGAAAGCGAGUGACUGGCGCGUUCCUGACGCUGAGGUGCGAAAGCUAGGGGAGCAAACAGG